rnacentral:lncRNA from 1 species
CUUGCAUGGCUGCAGUGGGGUGGGCAGUGGCCAGCAUGGUUUCUGUCCCCCAUUUACAUUAUUGUGCUUGGCUCCCUCUUCCUCAGGGAGCAGAUACUCUGCAUGGAUCCCUGGUACCAAGUGCAGACCUGACUUUUGCCAGAGGUGACAAAGAUGUGGAGCUACUUCUGGGUUCCUGCGUUAUAUUCUUCAGUACUUCAUUGCCCGGUUUUAUUUGUUCUGCAGGCUGAGCAUCUUAGCAGUGUCAGGAAAGAUUGUCACCUUGUGCUACUCACCUUCUAGAAAGCACGGCCGAAAGCACGACAGACACCACUAGAGUCAGAUCACACUCCAUUUUAUUGCCCGAAUAGCCUAACUUUUAUAGUGAACUUAACAGGGGCGGACAGUGUUUCACACAAGAUUAUUGGUCAAAAGCACUCAAACAACUACAAGAAAACAACCCCACCUGCAAGAAAACAACCCCCUUGUGAUUAGCAGUCAUGUAGACCUUGUCCUUGAAGCCAGCUACUGGUAACAAUGUUUUUCUGAAUUCCUAAAUUGGGCAAUGUGGGAACACUGUCAUGGGAACUUCUCAUAGUUGCCCUGGUAGCUUGGUUUGCUCAGCUACAGCAAGCCAUGGGAUUUUUGCUGUUUCAAAAAAUCCCUCAACACUUUCUUAAUUAAAUUUUAUUACCUCCUCUUUUUGUUGGGCAGGUCAUUGUCAGAAGUCUUGAUAUCCUGCACCGCACAAAGUAAUCUACCCAAACAGUAAUCUACCAUUCAGAGAUGGUGGCUAUGCCCUGAUGGGAGAGCUCCCAUCUAGGGUUAAAAUUAGCAGCCAGUGCAAGUGAAUCAGGAGCAUGCUUUAAUUUCAGGUAUAUGUGCUGUUGGGUUUGCUGUAUUAUAUCUGAGAUGUCUGUGAGCUUGGCUAAGGUUCCCAGAUCAUAUUCCUUUUUGGCUGUAAGGAAAUGAAGAGAGAAGAGGAUGGAGGUACGAACUGGUGAUGAGCACCCACAGGUUCUGAACUGAUGCCAGGAGGAGAUGGCAGGAACAAUAAGCCGUGCAGGUCUGUGCUGCCUCUCCUUUCUCAC